rnacentral:lncRNA from 1 species
AGGAUUCAAAGGGACAACUUCGACUGCAAAAAUUUUUCUGUACUUCCUUCAUUCAAAAUUCGAACUCGAAAGUAGGGAGACUGAUGUUGGGUAUAAAAUACCUCUCAGCCGAAGUUCAUGACAGGAGUGACCCUCCGGGGAUCCAACCGACUUCCGACCUCCGACAACGUCUCUUCAAACCUCCCGGACGGUCGAGCCCCCACAACACUCCCAAGUUUUGCUGACGGAUAAGCCCCCACCAGUGUUGAUCAGAUUCUUCACGACGGACAGACUCCACCCAAAUUUCCACGA